rnacentral:rRNA from 1 species
UAUAAGACUGGGAUAACUUCGGGAAACCGGAGCUAAUACCGGAUAACAUUUAGAACCGCAUGGUUCUAAAGUGAAAGAUGGUUUUGCUAUCACUUAUAGAUGGACCCGCGCCGUAUUAGCUAGUUGGUAAGGUAACGGCUUACCAAGGCGACGAUACGUAGCCGACCUGAGAGGGUGAUCGGCCACACUGGAACUGAGACACGGUCCAGACUCCUACGGGAGGCAGCAGUAGGGAAUCUUCCGCAAUGGGCGAAAGCCUGACGGAGCAACGCCGCGUGAGUGAUGAAGGGUUUCGGCUCGUAAAACUCUGUUAUUAGGGAAGAACAAAUGUGUAAGUAACUGUGCACAUCUUGACGGUACCUAAUCAGAAAGCCACGGCUAACUACGUGCCAGCAGCCGCGGUAAUACGUAGGUGGCAAGCGUUAUCCGGAAUUAUUGGGCGUAAAGCGCGCGUAGGCGGUUUCUUAAGUCUGAUGUGAAAGCCCACGGCUCAACCGUGGAGGGUCAUUGGAAACUGGGAAACUUGAGUGCAGAAGAGGAAAGUGGAAUUCCAUGUGUAGCGGUGAAAUGCGCAGAGAUAUGGAGGAACACCAGUGGCGAAGGCGACUUUCUGGUCUGUAACUGACGCUGAUGUGCGAAAGCGCGGGGAUCAAACAGGAUUAGAUACCCUGGUAGUCCACGCCGUAAACGAUGAGUGCUAAGUGUUAGGGGGUUUCCGCCCCUUAGUGCUGCAGCUAACGCAUUAAGCACUCCGCCUGGGGAGUACGACCGCAAGGUUGAAACUCAAG